rnacentral:rRNA from 1 species
GAGUUUGAUCAUGGCUCAGGAUGAACGCUGGCGGCGUGCCUAAUACAUGCAAGUCGAGCGAACGGACGAGAAGCUUGCUUCUCUGAUGUUAGCGGCGGACGGGUGAGUAACACGUGGAUAACCUACCUAUAAGACUGGGAUAACUUCGGGAAACCGGAGCUAAUACCGGAUAAUAUUUUGAACCGCAUGGUUCAAAAGUGAAAGACGGUCUUGCUGUCACUUAUAGAUGGAUCCGCGCUGCAUUAGCUAGUUGGUAAGGUAACGGCUUACCAAGGCAACGAUGCAUAGCCGACCUGAGAGGGUGAUCGGCCACACUGGAACUGAGACACGGUCCAGACUCCUACGGGAGGCAGCAGUAGGGAAUCUUCCGCAAUGGGCGAAAGCCUGACGGAGCAACGCCGCGUGAGUGAUGAAGGUCUUCGGAUCGUAAAACUCUGUUAUUAGGGAAGAACAUAUGUGUAAGUAACUGUGCACAUCUUGACGGUACCUAAUCAGAAAAGCCACGGCUAACUACG